UACGUAGGGUCCGAGCGUUUGUCCGGAAUUACUGGGCGUAAAGAGCUCGUAGGUGGUUUGUCGCGUUGUUCGUGAAAACUCACAGCUUAACUGUGGGCGUGCGGGCGAUACGGGCAGACUUGAGUACUGCAGGGGAGACUGGAAUUCCUGGUGUAGCGGUGGAAUGCGCAGAUAUCAGGAGGAACACCGGUGGCGAAGGCGGGUCUCUGGGCAGUAACUGACGCUGAGGCACGAAGGUCAGGGGAGCAAACAGG
rnacentral:rRNA from 1 species